AAACCGCUCGUGGGUCUCCAGGCAGAAGGUGGUGAUGGAGACCAGGAUGAAGAAGAGGGAGGCAAAAGCCACGUACUGCAGAGAGGAACAGAGAAGACACUUGCAGAUCCAAUGGUCAACAUCUAAAAAGCUGAGUUCAUCGAAGUACCAAGAGACCCAAUGAGACCAGGAACAGAACCCCACAUGUGCGACUGUGCUUGAUAACUCCCAUAGCAAAGAUCCUUCAGACCAGAGAAUGCAUUUGACAAUUCAUUGUACCAUUUACAAUGACCAAGUUUGGCCCCAAAGAGCAAAUGAGAACAUCCUUCUCUCUCCCUUCAUUGUAAAGGCUGCAGGGGAAGGAAGGGGUUGUGCAAUGUUGUACAUACUGUCAGACAUGGUAAAAAUGUUGGUAGAUUUUGUUGAACUGCCUGCCUGCCCCCUUUCUUUUUUUAAUCUUUGGAUAUGAGAGAAGGAGGUGUAUAUGUAGGAAAACAUGUGAUGAAAAACAAAUUUGGCAAUAAAAAUAAGACAUUUUAAAAGAGACAAAACGGCCCUUGUAAAAAAUACACUUAAAAGCCCCCAAUCCAGAGAUCAUGGAUGAGAACCCUGUGUGCCAGAGGACACACUGCCUCCUCAGAUGAGUUAAUUUUCUAUUUGAGGAGCACGCCUAAAUUAGCAAAGUGUUUUUCCUAAAUAAAUGUGGUGUUUUUUUUUCUAAAAUGGGCUAAAACAACUCACUCACAUGUCCAAGCAUCCCCUCCUGUGUGUGUUUACUAAGGUAUGCUCUGUUGUAGAUGUGACUAUAGCAGAAUUUGCUGCAGCAAGGUCACACAUUCAGCUGGGAGCUGUUAGCCCAGCCUUCUAUAGAUUCAAGGGCAGCCUAAAAGUUAAGUCAUCUGCUGAAUUCUAGGGAUAAUAGCUAGCCUUUAUAUAUAGCACUUUAAGAUUUUUCAAAGUGGUGUGAAUAGUUAUGUCAUUUGGUCCUCAUAACAACCCCUUGAAGUAGGCAUUAUAAUUAUUAUCAUUCUUAUUUUACAGAAAAGUAAACUGAGAUUUGGCCAGUAACAUAGUUACAUGG